GGGGAUUUAGCUCAGCGGCAUAAGCGCCUGUCUUGCAAGCAGGUGGUGGUCAUGAGUUCAAUGCCCG
rnacentral:tRNA from 1 species